UGACUUCUUCUUUUUCGGAGAAAGAAAUUCGACCGGAUACCGCGGGCAUAAGGGCAAUAAGGGUCAUUUGGUAUGUAUGACGCUCAAGGUAAAGAUACCCUUCCGAAUAUACGCGUCACCUCUGCCAGAAACCUUCAUAAUCCAGCUGUGGGGCUAUGUGUAUUCGUUUUCGGUCGAAAUCCCUUCACAGCUGCGAGGCAUAUUCCGUGGGGUGCUCUGCGUCUGGUCUGUCUAGCCCCGAAGGUUUACCCGCCUAGAUACUAUGGAUAUAUCCUGCAGUGAUCAGCCAGUGAUCCUUUACGCGGAAAUUAUUCUAUCCUCUUAGCUGUGGCAAGACUCCCUUGCGGUAUAUAUUCUAUCCCAUUGUGAUUUCACGAACCCUCGCGCUGACCCUGUCGAAGGAGACCCCAAUUCCACGGGAUGGUCAAUAAGUGCGUUGAUAUUUACCACUCGGAUUUGGAGAUUCGUCUCAAAGGAAGAAGAAAAGGAUACUUUCGAGAUUUCUUAAGACAACUUGUAGCUACGAGAUCUUCUGUGCGCAGGACUCGACGAUCUCUGCGCGGUCUUUUCAGGGUUGAAUCACAUGAUGCACGUAAUUUUGGAUCUACGAAAGUUCGAAGGGCACGCGACUUUCGACCUUUCACCGCAUCUUCGCACCGCUGUCCGCGUUAAUUUUAACUUUCGGCAGAUGAAUGGAAGUGGGUACGACGUGCAUCGGUGUACAUAGUAUGUAUAGUAAACGGUCGCUUUCGAGCUGCAGGUUUCAAGUGUGAUUAAAAUCGAUUACUUCGUAUCAACGUCACGGACGCUUUCCGAAUCACCUUGUUCACUCGGUAGUGCGGAAAACAAAUGGAAAAAAAUAUCCCAAAAGUCGAGUGUUCUUUACACACAUCUUAUUCGUCCCACGAAUCUUUUUACAACACAAAAAAUCAAUUUCAUAAAUAUAUUAUCGUAGGCGAAAAAAAAUUUUUCAUUUUUCGUCGGUUUUUAGUUUUUCCCUCCUGUUUUUUUUCUCCUAAUUGCGAGUUUCUAACGUCAGUAGUUCCGCUGAAAGCUUCACCGAGGAACUGCACAGUGGUGGUUACAGCACGUGAAUUUUUAAGUUCUCCACGUAACAAAAUCGGACACUUUGCUUCCCUUGAAAUUGAACGCUCCGGGCUGCGGUAGGUGGACACUAUUAAAGAGAAAAUGUAGUGGGCGAUGUGUAUAGUGUAACCAACACGUACGUUGUGUCUCUCUACGUCGGGAAACGAGUAGACGAUAAAAAAAAGUUAUAUAAAAUUUUUUUUAAAAAUGGAGGGUAACGCGGUCAUGUAUUAAAAAAAAAAAAAAAAAAAAAAAAACACCCUCUUCAUGUUCACGUUAUCUGUAUGAUUGCUCCGUCCCCAUACUCAAUUUACGACGUACAAUGUACAGUUACUACGUAUAUACACGUAAUUUUUUUCGUAACUCGUAUAGGUGUGCACGUAUAUAUUUAUGUAUAUAACCGCGUAAGUACGCGUGAUCCUCGAAAGGGUUGAAUGUAAUUAAUUCGAAGGAUUAUCAGCCUAAUUUCAGGUUUCCGCGAUACGAAAUAUCGUUUCAGACCUUAUCGGUGCAAAUCCUUCGACAAAUAUUCGUGCAUGUGGAAUAAUGGGAUCGAUCACUCGCUUUCGCGGACAAUGUAAUUAUAUGUAAGUCCCCUCUUGAAUAAUUAUCGAAUAGUUACGAGUACGUGUUGUCAAAUUAAUUUAAAACGCAGUUACUCUACAUAGGUGAAAUAUCGCCAUCGCUUAUUCAAAUGAUCAAUUAGAGAUUGCGGAUUUAAUUAUUCAAUCAAUUUUCCCGAUCGAAGUCCUCGUGAAAAUAUUGUCGAGCGAUUCGUUAUCCUUCUUUCGAUUUUUCGCACGUUUUGUCAGAUUUUGAUUUUGAUUUUUGAUGUUUUUUUGCUGAUUUUGCGUGUAUACUUACGAGUCCCUUCGCUUUCGUACGGAGGGAUACCUAUACCGCGGAGCGGCAGAGGAGUAGCUUUUCAAACCCGAAGAAAAAAGAUGGAUUUUUCUUAUAUUCUUUUUAAUAAAAUUCAAGUAGAUUGUACGGCGCCGCGAUCCCUUCGCUUUGUCAAAUAAAUUCUUCUUCUCAAAUCCACCCGACGUUUGACUUUAAAAUUCUUGUGUGCACGUCAAAUUCAGGUGAGACACGCGCUGUGGAAUUUCCAAUACUUCACUAGGUAUAACAUUAUUGACACACCGCACGCGUGAUCGAAGUACACGGUCCGAUGAACUCUGCCAAAAAAUCCCCAACGGCAAGACGAUUUCUGCGAAUGACAUCGGGAGAUAAGUCGCAAACAUUUUUUUGUCAAAAUUGAACGAGCGGAAAAAAGAAAGAAUCCGUUGUCGACGAAACAUCCAAUAUUCUCGUAUCUCCGAAUUACCCUGCGCUCUGAUACCGUACAAGAACUGAAACGAUCGAAAUUCGAUGACACAAAACUGCUGCAAGUCGCGAACGAAAUUAUAUUAGGUGGACUGUGGGGUUCUGACAGAUUCCGAUAGUCCAGUAGGAAUUUUAGCUGCUGGCGGACAUUCAUAAAUCGAUUUACGUCAGUCUACGCGUUCCGUCCGUGUGGUACACAUACGAUACCGCGCGUUUUUCGGUUUCAUGUCAAUUUUUGAGUUUUUUUUUUUCUAUUUGUUUAUUGUUUUUCUCCAAUUUUUCCUAUUUUUCUUUUUACAGCUUUCGGUUUACAAUUUUUCAAAAAAUUUUUUGGCUGGAUAGAAAAAUUGUUUACAGAAACAGAAUGUUGAUGAUUUAUUGUGGACGAAUAUAUAUAUACGUAUAGCGAGAUAGGGAAUAGAAAAAGAAAUGUUUGUUAUGAGAAUUAAAAAUUAGUAGUAUAAUAUUUAUAGCAGCGUGUAGGGGUAUUUAUGUGACUACGCAUCACACAAAUCCUCGACCUCAAAAAUCUGAAGUAGUUUAAAUUUGACGAGCGCGCGUGGUGCGUUCGAAUUGCCUCCCAUCUUGCAGCAGUAUCUCGUGGACCAACUUGGCGUAACACCGAAAAUAACUGAACGAAAAGAAAAGAGAAUAAGAGAAAAGAAAAAUAAACAAAACAACUUCAGAGGCUCGAAACGUCUUGAUGGUUCCACCGAAGACAGAUUUUAGUGUAACUUAGCUAACCAGUGAAAUGGCCUCCGUGUAUUCGAAUCCUUUAGCUGCUACGCCACAUUCGGAUCCGGAGGAAUUAUUCGCGAGCAAGCAUGAGAUGGCACCAAGAAUUCCACCACCGCGUACAAGAGAAACACCCUAACAUUCAUCUCAAGAAAUCAAGUUCGGAGGACAACAAGAACGGAAGCUCAACCAUCGAAUUAAUUCACGAAGGUGCAUUACGGAGAAAAAAAUCUAAAAGCAUCAAGAAACACCUAAACUGAAUACUUUUUCAACUUCAACGAUUAUUGGCAUCAUCGUGAUAAAUUUUCGUUCAGAAUUGAAGAUGUUCUGAAUAUAUUUCGUCAAAAAUA